UACGGAGGGUGCAAGCGUUAUCCGGAUUCACUGGGUUUAAAGGGAGCGCAGGCGGAUUUGUAAGUCAGUGGUGAAAGGCUUAAGCUUAACUUGGGAACUGCCAUUGAUACUAUAAGUCUUGAAUGUUGUUGAGGUUUGCGGAAUGGAUCAUGUAGCGGUGAAAUGCAUAGAUAUGACCCGGAACACCUAUUGCGAAGGCAGCAGGCUAAACAAAUAUUGACGCUGAGGCUCGAAAGCGUGGGGAUCAAACAGG
rnacentral:rRNA from 1 species